UUGCAGAGUCUUGUUGAGUUACACCCCAUCAAACUCCAUGGACUUGCUUACUGGAAUAUCCAUCUUGAAGACUAAGCUCAAAUAGGGAUUGUACACAUUGCACUUCAUUCCCAAAGCCUGGUGUGCCAGUGAGCAGGAUUUGGGGGCCUGGGGGGCUCCAGCAGUCAUCAACUGGGGAGGCAACACUUCCCACUGGAUAAGAUAUUGGAUGGAGGAGUCUGGAAUCUGCUGACAGUUCUGCCAUGCACCUGCCUUGUGAUAUUGGGAAAUCCCAGUGGUAUAACUGUAAAAUGUAGAAACAGUUUUUGUUACUUCAUCAAGUCACAAGCGAGAUGCCCUCAGUGAAUCUUUUGACAUCCACAGAUGGAUAUAAAGAAAUGCCCAGGAAGCCUGGUAAGGCUGGACUAAAACAAAUUUCGAAAGCUGCUGUGAAAUGGAAUUGUUGUCGUCCGAUCAGCUCUAGUUCAGAUUGAGCCAAAUGCAUCUUUAGCUCUUGAGCCAGCUCUUCAUCUCUCAAGGAGAAACGUGCUUCAGAAUUUUGUUACCUAGACAACUUUCAAGUCUUGAUUUUAGGUUUUAAGUGGGGACCCGAGUGCUUUGUGUUUUGUGCGCUAGAGCCAACUGCCAAGUUGUUGUUGUGAUUGUCAUUUGACUCCUACGAACCACACUUUCUGGAUCCAGGGCAAGCUUUUGGGAAGAAAAAGCUGAUGGAACAUGUCGCUGUCUGUACUGAAAUAUCAUGAUGAUGUAACUAGUAAAUGUGGACAUCAAGGUUGUGGCUUCCUUGGGUGGUGUGGGCAGGUUCAUUCUCAUGAGUCUAUUGCUUUUUCCUCAUGCUACUCUAAUUCUGUCCCUUGCAGCAUUACGUAGUGAAUAGAAGUCCUUGCUCCCCUGAGCUUCUCCUCUCUUCCUCUAGCCUGUCUGCUUUCUCUCCUGGAGCCAGAAAAGGAAAAAUAAAUGCCAAACUCCUCACUUUGUUUUAAUUCUAAAUCUUUUUAGAUUAAAAAAAAAAAGACGGAUGGUCUUCUGGCUGAAACAUGAGUUUGGUAGGCAGGAAACCUGUGUUCUGUUCCUGGCUCUGUCACAGAUUGUUAUUUGUUAAUUGGCUGUUAUUUGUAUUGCACAAUCACCAGACGGUCCCAACCGGGUUGUACCAAGUAUUCUAUAAACAUGGCCUCAGGCACUUACAGUCGAAGACCAUCUCCCUGUCUGCCCCAGCCACUCUGUUCUAACCUGGAUUCCUUACUCUUUUCGCACUCCCACCCAUCUCUUUUCCUGAGACCUCACAAAAGAAUUGGAUCCUAUUCCUGAGACUCCCACUUUCCCCAUAGAUUCAUAGACUCUAGGACUGGAAGGGACCUCGAGAGGUCAUCGAGUCCAGUCCCCUG